rnacentral:lncRNA from 1 species
AUCAUCUCAGGCAUUGGUAUCAAUGCACUGCAUCAACUUUCCUUCUCUUUUUCAGAAUCCGAGGGAGCGAUGCCUAUCCAGAUUUUGUUUGGAUGGGAAAUAGGAGGCUAUCCAGAUUUGUAAUAUUAGAAUAUGUUUGUUUCAACCAAAAUAAGGGAGUACUAAGUACAUGGACAUCAUACUACUUCUUUGUUCAUCCUCAAAUAAAAUGUUGCUACCUAGUAUCUGAUUGGAGUACUUCCUAGUACAAAGAAUCUGAACAGGGAGUAUCUAAUCAAGUACUAGGUAUAGUAACAUUUUAGGACAGAUGAAGCAAAUGAUGAGCAGCAGUGCAGGUGAUGAAGUGGUCAAGAGACUAUCCUUCUCAUUGCACUAGAUGUCGUAGCAUGCCACGCCUCUCAUACCGCUACGGAACAUGACGAUGGGGGGCAUCGCCGCGCAACUAGAACACUCUGGGACUCUGAGUAAACAUAUUUAAGUAUAAAUAACAGGACCUCACGAGGAAGAAAAAUACAUCAUAUAAAGGUAGAUACUAUAUAGAAAAUAUGUAUCAGAUUAAAUAGUAUGUGCAUAUAACAAACAAAAUAUUUGUCCCGUUAAAUGGUGCACUCUUGUGAGGAAAAAAGAUACAUCAUAUCAAAUGCUACAUCCAUAUCAGGAACAUAAUAUCUAUCAUAUUAAAUGGUGCAACCUUAUAUAGAGGAAGAUAUGUCUAUCAGUUAAAGCUAAAAACUUUAUUUUAUCAAUAUUGUAGUAUGCCCCCAAUUUGCAAUAUAAGUUGUAAAAGUUUGAAAUACCUAGAACAUGUUCACAAAACACGACAAUUAUUUUGGAGCAUUUAAUGUUCACAUGGUAUAUCUAUCAAUGAUAUUUCGCAGAAGAAAUGUUUAAGGUUAAUGGAUAGAUUCCUCCUAUCCCCUUACAUUUUACUUUCUCUUUGGAACUCUAUCCAAGAGCACUGAAGCUCCAAAGAGCGUAGCCACAAAGAGAGAUAGGAGUCGUCUAUCUGUUACCCUUAAACAUUUCUUUUGAGAAAUAUCAUUGAGAGAUAUAUAGUGUAAACAUAAAGGCUUCAAAAUAGCUGUUGUGUUGUUUGAACACGUACGAGUAUUCCAAACAUUUACAGCUUAUGUUGCCAACUAGUGGGAUACUACAAUGCUAACAAAAUGAACUUCUAAAAGCUUUAAUUGAUGUACAUAUCUUUCCCUGUACAAGGUUGUGUCAUUUAAUAUGUUAGAUAUUUUGUUCCUUGCAUAGACAUAGCAUUUAAUAUGUACAUCUUUUUUUCUUCCUUAUAAAGGUGGACCAAUUAAUGUGACAGAUAUUUUGUUUCUAUACCUUUUAAUAUGAUACAUAUUUUCUUCCUUAUAUGGACGGGCCUAUAUGAAAUACAUUUUAGAAUGAAAGAGUAGUAAUUAUCCCAUCAAUCAACUCUCAUUUAAAUUUCUUCAUAUCUCAUACCCCAGUCAUCCUUGAACCUUAUCCACCUCUCAUUUAAUGUUGUGUGCCAAAGUGUUUUGUUUUUUCCCUUAUUCUCUAUAAUUAUUUUAUAAAUGAUUAUUGUAGUCGGAGGGGGUAUAUUCUAGGAUAAAAUUUGAACUCUAAAAAAGAGAUAUUCCCUCUGUCCCAGAAUAUGAGGAUUAUAUUUUUAACCUAAGUUAAACUAUUUUAAGUUUGACUAAGUUUUAAACUACACCCGUCUCAAAAUAUAACAGAAUUUUCCCAUAUAAUUACAUGAGCCAAAUCACUUAUUCUUUGAAAUGGGUAUAGCACAGAAGAAUAUUAACAUCUACCACACAAUCUACCACAUAAAAACAGUAAAUUAUAAUGAUAUAUUUUAUAAUGGGUCUAAUGAUGCUCAUUUGAUAUUGUAAAUAUUAUUUUGUUUUCAUAAACUUAGUUAAACAUAGUUUGACUUACAACAAACAUAAGGUCCUUUGAGACAGAGGGAGUAUAUGAUAUAGUAGUACCGAAUGUAAGAGCAUCUCCACGAGUCCCCUAAACAUAUUCUGUAAAUUUAAAUUUUGGGAAUUAAGUUAAAACACAUGUCUCCAACAAAUACCCAAAAGAGCUCCCAAAUUUUAAACACCUCUAAUACCGGCGCCAUCCUGAGCUAGAUAUGGGGCACCUCAUAGAACUCCCAAUCCCCGGCCACAAUCACGCCAAUUUUUUGCCGCUGGCAUCAUUUUUUGGCAAUCGUGCGCGAUCAACCUCGCAAUGAUGUACAGGAGAAAUAUAAUCGGCCAAAAAUAGUUGAGGAGGGCCCACUAGCGAUGAGAUAAUAUAUUUCAAUGUUUUGAAACCUAAGCACUGACUCUGUUGGAGAAGUGGGUGAUUUUCUUCUUGCAUAUUUUUGAGAUGACCAUAAUCCAAGAUUAUCGGGAGUACAAUUUUAAGCCAUUGGCCUAAUCUAUACACACUUAUCACAGUUAACAAGUAUAAUCCAAAAUUAGCAGGAGUUUAAUUUUGAGACUGGUAUGCCUCUUAUUAUGGUUUACCAUAUUGCUCAUCUAAAUGUUUUUAUCAUACUGUUUUUGAGAUUAAAAACUAGUAUUUAUCGGUUUGUCGAAAACCGAGCAAAAACCUGUGAAAACCAACAAUUUAUAUACAGGAACCAGCUUAAACAACCCCGUUUCGGGAAGCCUAGUAUGCAAACGUUUGCGGACACCGGGAUCACACGAACGCGUUGACUUCCCAUUUUCCGACUUCAUGUUCUAUGGGGUCGUUUUAUUUUUAGCGCAAACGAGAUGAAGGCCUUUCCGCCCCUAGUUUUAGCUAUUUGUGUCCCAACUUUCCCCACAUAAAAUUUCCCGUCAAAACUUUACCUACAUAACCCUUCCUUGUAUAAACUUUCUAUCGAGAAACUUUCAUUGUAUAAACUACUUCCCGAAAAUAUUACCCAUAUAAACUUUUUUCCCAAAAACUUGCCCGUAUAAACUUUCGCCCAAAAACUUUCCACAUAUAAACUUUCUCCACAUAAACUAUUUCCAUAUAAUUUUCCAUAUAGAAACUUUUAUAGAGAGGAGAUUACAAAUAAAUGAAAAAAUUAUUUCAAAAUCAUAUGAAAUUUUAAUCAAAUCUCAAAAAGUAUAUACUCAAAUUCAAAGACCUUGAAAUGAAUCUUUCAAUAAAAUAACUUCUCAAAACCCUGAACUUAACCAUGGCAUGGAGCUCACCGGGGUGCAGUGGAUUUUUUGCUGGAGAGAAACAGAUUUCGUGCACACAACACCUUGCCAGAGGGAGGAAAAAGCACGUCGUCGUUGACAACCACAGCUGCGACAGGGCCACCUCGCCCUUCGCUUCAUCUGUGAUGACGACCUCAUCACUGUGCGCUCCGUCCAUCUCGCCAAGGUGAGAAGAGAGGGGAGGGGGGAACAGGGCUCUUACCGAAGAGGUGAGGAGGAAUAGGGAGUAUGCACACAACUUGAUUUGUCGCGAUAGUGGUGGAGGAAGUGUGAGAG